rnacentral:pre_miRNA from 1 species
UGAUGAUGAUGAUGAUGAUGAUGAUGAUGAUGAUGAUGAUGAUAAUGUUUUAUAAAAGGUUUAUCAUCAUCAUCAUCAUCAUCAUCAUCAUCAUCAUCA